AUGUUUGACGAAAUGUUUCCAUUGACCACGGAACCCAGACACGGGAUGGAUAGUAGGGUUCAUGGAAUUGUCCAUCAUGCUGUGCCAUACGCUCAAGUUCCAUAACCUAUAUGUGAUAUAGGUUGUACUGGUCGUUUCGUGCGUUCUAUCGCGCAGCGAGUACCUGCCUUGCUGUCCCCUGAAUAACCCCUAUACAGCUGGUGCGGGUGCAGCACGAGCAUAGAACGGGAUUGGCAUACGACUGAGGACGUUGGCUCGAAGUGUCUUUUAUUCAAUACGGAAUCGGGACUCUUUAUGAUACUGGGAGCCAGCAAGCUGCGGAGAGAGACGCACUGCUUGCGGUAGCGCGAAGCGAUCUGCCAGGAGCGUACUGCAACCAGGGCAACGCCUAGCAUGCAGCCUACCGCUUUCUCAUCUAAAAACAAAAACAUCGUUGCAGAUGAGUCGCUCGGGUGUCGCCACAUCACCCGGUAACUGAGGGAGGCGUGAGGCACGAGCCCGCCGGACACGUCGGGGUCGUGCGACCUUCCAUCAUGCGGAUCAACGUUCGAAAAUACGGAGACGUUUGCCCCCGUUCAAUGUUCACCGUGAAGCUGGAACGAAAUUGGUAUCGAGUCGCUGGUUGCUGGUUCGUUUGUGUUCUUUCGGGACCGUUGCAAAAAGCAAGUGCUUUUUUUCUGUCUUUUUUUGAACGUAGUGAAUGUCGAGAAUGCUGCGCUGUAGUUACAAUCGCACGCAACGUUCUCUCCAGUCGACAGCGCACAUCGCGUUUUUUAUACAACCUUUACACACUGAACAGGCACCCCCGAUUGCGCUCUUGAUAUCAGCGCAUUCUGUCAGUGUACAUCGUGUAUCAAGUAGCGCCGGCGGGGAUGCAGGAACGCGCGAUCGACACUCUCCGACCGCUGCGGCAACGCCACGAGCAGAGACCCGCAGCGUCUUCCACCUGAGCGGACACCGUGUAUACGAGUAUUGUAUGUGCAUCAUCUAUCGACGUACAGUCAUGAGAGAUGAAGCAUGCCUGGGUUGCUUUUCGUGUCUGGGAACGUUUGGCAGAUCAAAGGACAGGGUGCGGUCAUAAACGCAUCUCGCAGCGUGGAGUGCGCUACGGUUGAGUUCAGAGCUGGCAGGUCAAGCAACCUUGCAAAAUCGACAUGCAAAUACCAUCAUGUAUGUUCGUGCAUGCCUGCGCUGCGUUGAACAAACCCAGGUCGUAGCUUACAGCAGACAAUGCACAGCGCAGACAAGUAUCUGAGAUGAAGUCAAUGCACGUCAGGUAAGCAUGCAGAGAACAUACUGGAUAUUUUAUCCAGUGCAGGUAUCGAUGUCCGUCGCUGCCGCAUGCUCCAUAGCGGACCGGGGUUCCGUCCACAGCGCCGGUAUCGCAUCUCCCGAACGGCAUUCGGAUGUGCAACAUCUCGAGCACGCUGCGUCUAGGCCUCAGAACGCUACCCAGAGCUACUUGCGUUGCGAGUGCGCUUACGUGCGCCAGCUCAGGCGAUAAGACGGCCGCACGCGUAACAUGCAGGACUGCAUGGAUGUCCCGGCACUUGAUCGUACCAAACUGGGGAUGCUUGCUGACGCAGCCCGGCAGCAGCGUGGGCGGCCUCAUUCGUCUCGGGCGUUCAUCACAUGCACACCGUGGGGGCGCAGAUAACUCGUAAACGCACAGCAACGCCGAACGCCCAGCAGCAGCGCCAGCACACACCAUCGCAUUGCGUGACCCGGGAGCGCCUCGAGCGAUCCGUUGAAAAUAAACGAACGGAAAAUGCGCUCCAUUCAGAUCCUUGCCUGUAUGGAUCGUACGAGAUCGGAUAUCCUUACGGCCUUGGAUUGAAAGCGGAUCGUUCCAAAGGUUUUCGCUUCUCGUCAAAGCUUCAAUCAAGAACAUGUCUGAGCGUCAUGCGCUGCUUGAAGAUGUCGUUUUCCGUAUCAGGCAGCACGCAAAGGAUACAUCGCUGGAGCGUCUGUUAUCGCCCCUGAUCAAGCCUGGAGCGGUAUGCGAAGGGCAUGCAACCCGCGAUGCAGCGUGCCGGAUGUGCCCGGCAUCGACCUACCGCUUAUGCGCUCAUGACGCCGGGGCAUGCUGCAGCACCUGCUCCUUGAGCAACACACAGAUGCGACCUGAUCCAGGUGGGAUCUCGCGUGCGGUGCACAUUUUUCGAACCAGAGCAGCAACACGCUCCUUUUGCGCUGGAAACCAUGGUUGAAAAUAAGAAAGGAGCUCCUUCACAGUAACGUAGGAACCUUGCCUCGCGAGAUACCGCAACACGGCUUUGAUAUGCAUUUCUUCGAUAACUCCAUCCGGCGCCGGCAGUAAAUGCGAAGGCACAGCG